UGCCAGACUCCUACGGGAGGCAGCAGUGGGGAAUAUUGCACAAUGGGGGAAACCCUGAUGCAGCGACGCCGCGUGAGUGAAGAAGUAAUUCGUUAUGUAAAGCUCUAUCAGCAGGGAAGAAAAUGACGGUACCUGAGUAAGAAGCCCCGGCUAACUACGUGCCAGCAGCCGCGGUAAUACGUAGGGGGCAAGCGUUAUCCGGAUUUACUGGGUGUAAAGGGAGCGUAGACGGCCAGACAAGUCUGAAGUGAAAAUCCAGCGCUUAACGUUGGAAGUGCUUUGGAAACUGCCGGGCUGGAGUGCAGGAGGGGCAGGCGGAAUUCCUAGUGUAGCGGUGAAAUGCGUAGAUAUUAGGAGGAACACCAGUGGCGAAGGCGGCCUGCUGGACUGCAACUGACGUUGAGGCUCGAAGGCGUGGGGAGCAAACAGGAUUAGAUACCCCAGUAC
rnacentral:rRNA from 1 species